rnacentral:rRNA from 1 species
AUAAUCUACCCAACAGACAGGGAUAACAUUUAGAAAUGAAUGCUAAUACCUGAUAAGCCCACGAUGUCUUCGGACGCUGUGGGAAAAGGUGGGGACCUUCGGGCCUGCCGUUGUUGGAUGAGUCCGCGGCCCAUUAGCUAGUUGGUAGGGUAAUGGCCUACCAAGGCUACGAUGGGUAGCUGGUCUGAGAGGAUGAUCAGCCACACUGGAACUGAGACACGGUCCAG